rfam:Gossypium hirsutum cultivar TM-1 unplaced genomic scaffold scaffold1146.1, whole genome shotgun sequence
UAUUAAAAAUUUUAUUCAUUUUUACCGUUAAAAACCGGCAUGGCUAACAAAAUAACAAAACAGUGACGCAUGGCGUGCCAUGUGUUCCUCAUGUAGACAUACAGAGACCGGAUUUUAACAGUAAAAAUAGAUGAAAUUUUUAACA